UCACCUGUGUUUCUGUGUGUCAGGUGGAGGGAAGGUGGAGAUUAAAUCAGAGAAGGUGGAUUUUAAAACCGUUCAAUCUAAAGUUGGUUCUCUGGAGAACGUCACCCAUGUGCCGGGAGGAGGGAAAAAGAAGAUUGAGAGUCAGAAACUGAGCUUCAGAGAGAGCGCCAAAGCUCGGACGGACCACGGGGCUGACAUCAUCGUCCAGCCUGACUCCGCCCCCUCCAGCGACACCUUCUCCCCAGGAAGCCUAAACGCAGCUGAAGCCACACCCCUCGACACGUUGGCCGACCAGGUGUCCGCCUCCCUCGCCAAACAAGGCCUGUGAUUGGACAGCCCCGAGCCUGCAGAGCCCCCCCUCCCAUUACCAAGGAAACUACCUGAUGGAAGAAAGAAAAAAGAUAAUUUUGUCUUUUUCCUCAUGACCUUCAUCUGACAUCACACGCACGAUUGGAGAGAUUUUAUUAAGUUACAGUCAGCCAAUCACAGCGCAGCGCGUCUACAGCCAAUCACAGCGCAGCGCGUCCACAGCCAAUAACAGUGCAGCGUGUCUACAGCCAAUCACAGCGCAGCGUGUCUACAGCCAAUCACAGCGCAGUCAGGUGGGAGGAACCAGGUCUGUGUAGUUGAAACUAAACGUUACAAACCGUUCAUUUAAACUGGAACAGAGAUGUGUUGAACACCCUUUCGUGUCUUUUUUUCA